rnacentral:rRNA from 1 species
AUCCGUCGGAGCACCCUUAGCAGGUGUGACGGCGUGCCUUUUGAAGAAUGAGCCUGCGAGUCAGCGGCAUGUCGCGAGGUUAACCCGUGUGGGGUAGCCGUAGGGAAACCGAAUCCUAAUGGGGUGUUUAGUGGCAUGUCCUGGACCCGAAGCGGGGUGAUCUACCCAUGGCCAGUGUGAAGCAGCUGUAAGAGGUUGUGGAGGCGCGAACCCACGUAGGUUAAAAACUGCGGGGAUGAGCUGUUGGUAGGGGUGAAA